AGUUCAACUCUACCUAAUUCCAAAUAGCUGCAAGUAUGUAUUUUCUCCUUUCAGUUAUGCUUUCACUCUCCAUUCUGAUUAUUGCAAGUUAUGUAAAUCAAGCCAGAGAAGAGAUUUAAUUCAAUCAACUGUGGGUUUGCUCACACUGAUUUGAAUAUUAGCUGCCGUCUGUAUGUAAAUGACUAGAGAGAAGGAAACUUGUUGCUAUGCACUGUGACCAAUCCUGACGCCAUUCUUACUGGCUAACCUUGUGUCAAGGUCAAGCUCAAAGUCAAAGCGGUUGUGGGAGGAAGAUAAGCCACCUCCCAGGUCUGUGCUUGGGGUAAUUUAUCUAAAAGAUGGCUGGUUUUUUUAGACAGUGUCAGGGAAGUCUCCAUCUUGUCCAUUAUUUAUGAUGUAUGAGAGAGAAGGAUGGAAGGACAGACAGAGAGAGAUUGUUCCCCUUUACCAGGAAUUCUCCAUCCUCUCAAACGAAGCAGCAUUCUUCUCAUACCAGGUCCAGGGAGGCAGCUAAGGUAUUCAUCCCCUGAGGAAAAAUAGGAGACUAGGAUACUUGGAGCUGUUAGGAAGCCGGGAGGAGAGAGACUCUUUCUCUAAAUCUGACAAAGGAUCAAGAACAGAGAAAUUAACAGCACGGAGUGAGUCCUCCGCCUCCAGGGGAGCAAAGGACGAUCUAAGAAAGAAGAUUCCUGGGCGCCACGCCUCUGGCUGCGAACAAACAAAACAUCCUCUCUUUGAAGCGCUGACAUUGCUUUUCCUUGGGGAGAAGGAGCCUGGAGAAGUGGGUUACCUCCCCCCCCCUACUUCUGUAAAGGAGGAAUCAAGGCUCCCAGCAACCAGGGGUCACUUGCGUUGCGACCCCAUCAGGACUACAGUUCAGGCCCUCUGGUUUCUUGUCCCGCGCUUUCUUCACUCGACCAAGUCCAUAAUUCUAACAUCCUACAAAUGUCCUGUGAAAACGUCCACAUGAAAUAUGUGCUCUUUUCUAAGUCUGUUUACUUCUGACCCUGUGGAAAGAUUUGAGAGACAUUAGUAACUUCUUUUUUUAUUUUCUCAAGUCCCUGUGAAGAAAUGACUGUAUCUGCAGUGCUUCUUUUCUGGGCUCUGGAAGGAAUCCAGAGCUGUCACUGUGUUUUCCAUUUGGCACAUUUUCAAGAAUCUCGUUGCUGUUUCCUGGAGGUCGCCCUGCAGAACUCCAUCGAGUGCCUCUGACAGGUUGGCCGAGGCAAGAACUCAGGCAUCCUGGAGCCUUGAAACAGACAGAAAAGGCAGGUCGGGGGUGCAGGUGCACCCUGCUUUGUGCAGCUCACUCUGAGACAAGGGAUGAGCCCCCAGAGAGACUGCUUUUCAAAAGCAGAUAACUCCCUCUGAUUUGUCAUGGAACUUCAAAAUAGUAAAUGAACCUAGUGAAUUUUUAAAAUAGAAUUCAACUUCGGAAAAAAACAUUCAGCUUGACUUUCUUUAAACAGUCAUUCAUCACAGGUUUGAAAGACAGCACUAAAAAGAAACAAGGAAACUUUCAGAAGAAGGCUGAUGAUGAGUGAGCCUCUGUAUCCCAGAAUUUGAAUUGUCCCAUGUCCCCAAGAACUUGCAGUUCUUAGGAGCCCAGCCAGAAAAGACCAAGGAGAUACCAGGAGUCCCAGCUUUGCAGAAGCUUCAUGAAAUCAAUACUUCCAAAGAAGUUUGCAAUGGAGGCUGUUGCCUAUGAUCUUUCUGAAGCAAGUCAAGGAAGUGAAACUUUAGAAGAACCUUUAAGAAGCCGAUGCGCGUCGUGGCUUUUCAGAAAUGGGAGGCAGUGCAUGGCGUUUCCCAGGUGAGUAUGGUUUUGAACUCUUUGUCUGGGUUUUCCAGAAAGCAGGACUUAAGACAAGGCUUAACUGCAAGCUUUCCACUGGGGGUGAUUAUCCAGGGACACAGAGUGAAGGCCAGGGCGCAUCACAGACAGAUGGAAAGCGGUGUCAGGUGGGUCCUGGAUCUGGCUACCUCUGAGGCUGUUGGUGGCCCGAUCCCACGAGACAGCUCAAAGAGCUGGAGGAAAUGGAUCGGGGGUCUUUCUACUGGGGAGGACGAGGGGGCAACAGUUCUCCACUGGCUUCCAUCACCAUGAGUCAAAGUUUCCCUUCCCCACCUGUGCAGCCUCUGCAAGUCGCAGUGCCUAGCAGGUCCUCACCACGUCCCCUGCCUUUGUGCAGCAUUGGCACCUGCAGGAAGUGGGUCAGUGCCUGCACAGGAGCAAUCACACCAUAGCUUGAGAGACAGCAGAGGCCGAGAGAAUCUGAAACUGUGCUUGAGGGGUGUCUGAUAUGCUCCUGGAGCCGUUAAUUGGAGAACAUUCCAUAAAACAAGGGCUUCAUGGAAGGCUCUCUGAGAAAACAGUUUCAGUGUUCAAUUGCUCUGAUGUGUUAUUUCAUUUACAGACGCACUGGAAAGCUAAUUUAAUUUGAACUUUAUUUGUGUUCAUAUCUGCUGACUGCAUGCUCUGAAAACGAGAAGAUUUCUUAAGGUGUGGAAUACUUCCAUUCUGGCUCAUUCAGCCGAUAUGGUAAAUAUCAUCUUACCAAUAGAGAAGGGCGAAAGAAUACACCAGCAGUUUCUUAUCUAGCCCAGUGGGAGGGAGAAAGAAAAAAGAGGAAGCGAAAGAAAGAGCAUUGCCCAGUAUAAAUUUUGGGACAGUUACAUUAAACAAAAGGAUCAGAAAAUGGAAAUGUAUUCCUUUGAAAUGACUGUAAUCAGCAGAAUGUUGAGGCUGAGAGGAAAGUAAUGAUGGAGAACAAGGCAGGCGAGAGUGUUCAUUUUCUCUGAUGAUGAAGGGUAUACAGUCACAUUUGGAAGAGGAAGGUCAAAUACUGCAGAGGUGCUGAUUUUCAAGAAACCCACUCUGCUUGCCGGAGUCCGUUUUAUGGAUAGAUGGUCAGCAUGAAGGAGCUGUGAGUCACAGUGAGCCUGUGUCCUCUCCCCGGCAGCGCACAGCUAGCAUGUCAUCCAGACAAAGCCAGGAAGGUAAGAAUUAGCGGGAAACCCCAAGACGGCAAUAUUGAUUCAAUCUGGCGUUGGUGUUGCCAUCAAUGAAACAAGCUGGAAUCAUGGGCGUAGAGAGGGAGGAGGCAGAAUGGGCUGGUGGAGGAUGGGGCAAAGUUGCAGUGGGUCAAUUGUGGGGAAAAGUCUGUCCUUUUUACGAUUCCAGAAUUUUUUUUUUCUCUCCAGUAGAGGAUUUAGCCCAGGAGCUUCUACAUGCUAAGCACGUGCUCUGCCACUGAGCUAUUACCCUCCCCUACCAGAAAUGUUCUUUAAAAGCAACAGAACUUGGAUUUUGCAGCCAGUUGACUUAAACUGAAUUUCUGGAUCCUUUGCUUGUGAGCUGUGUAGCUUUGUUAUGGUCAUUUAGCUUCUCUGGCUCAGUUUUCUCAUCUGUAAAAUGGAGAGAAUAAUGUUACGUCAUUUAGUGGCAAAUAACCGAACACCCUACUCAUCCCUAGUUUAAACAAUGCCUUCUUCCAGGCAAGAAGGCUCUAGGCAUUCCUCCAAACAUGUAGCAGAAUAACGGAUAAGAAAAAGUCAUAGUUGAGGCUCAAAAACCACAGAAAUAUAUCUAAAGAUCACAAAUGGAAAAUUAAUACAAAGUGCUUCAGGCUCAGAAAAAAGCAGCGUUGGCCAGGAGUUUUUGACCUGGACAGCAUUACUACAUGCAAAAAAGAAAAAAAAAAAAAAAAAAAAAAAAGGAAGUGGAGGCCAGGCCAAUGCCUGGGCCUGGGUGGGAUUCAAGGCUACAAAUCUAUAAGACUAGAGAAGAAAGACAUGGUAAAGGUGUAGCCUUUUGAUCAGGAUCUGAGUCAAUUCACCUUCACUCAGUGGCUAAACUCAUGGUAUGGGACAAUGGAACCAGGGCCUCAGGGGGUUAGGGAGAGAAAAUACAGAAGUCAUAAAAUUGUAUGCUUCUAACAACACAGCCUCAAAAUACAAAAAGCAAAAACUGGUAUAUUUAUAAAGAAAACUUGACUAAUCCCCCAGAACUCACUGGAAUGUUUUAAUGUAUAUAAAAAAUGAUUUAUUGAGCAGACUUCAAAUUGAUAAAAAUACAGAAAAUAUGAACAGGGCAAUAAAAACUUUGUUCUAAUAAAUGUAGAGACAAUCCUACACCCCCCAAAUGAAGAAUAUAUGCUAUUUUCAAGUAUACAGAGGGUAUUUAUUAAAAAUUUACUAUGCACAGGUCACAAAGGAAUUGUCUGUACCUUUCAAAUGAUAAAUGUCAUAUGAAUAAUGAUUUUCUAAUUGAAAGCAAUUAAAGUAGAAAUGAACAAAAAGAAUAAAAAACAGAUGUAUAUUGGGAAACUUAGACGUGUGCUGCCAAAUAAUUCAUGGGUGUAUGAGUUUCUUAUAGCUGCUGUAACAAAUAACCACAAACUUGGUGGCAUAACACAAUAAAAAGAUAGUUUCUCACAGUUCUGGAGGCCAGAAAUCUGAAAUUAGUAUCACUGGGCUGAAAUCAAAGUGUUGCCAGGGUCAUGCUUCUUCUGGAAACUCUAGGGGAAAAUUUGUUCCUUGAAUCUUCCAGUUCCUGGUAGUUCUGGACAUUCCCAGAAUGUUAGGAUCCUAACAGACACUUUUGGGAGAGAGUGCUAAUAGACCGGUGUUGAAUAUGUCAUCACGGUUAUUCAACAAACCAUGUGUCCCAUCCUUCCUUCCACAUAAAAGUGGUCCACGUGCAAGUUGGUGUUUUUGGAUAGGACUUCCAGGAAAGAUUUUUAAAAGGGUCUCACUCAACUGGGAGGCAAGCACCCUUCUCCCUUUUCCCGUAUCCUUUGUCUUUCUGUUCAGAAUUUGAAUGUGAUGGUUGAAGCACCAGCAGCCAUUUUGUGACCAUGAAUCAACCUUGAAAGUGUAAGCCAGAUGCUAAGAGUAGUGAGCGGAAACAUGGAAAGUGCAGAAAGAUAGGAUAACUGCGUAACCACCUUUGUAUGGCUGGGUCAUGUACCCUUGGACAUUUUUAUGUGAGAGAAAAACACACCUCUAUCAUUUUUAAGCCACUGUCAUUUUCGGUUUAUAUUACUAGUAGCUGAACUUCAUCUUAACUGGUAUAAUGCCUGAUAAAUGUUUACAUUUAAAGCAAAGAAGUGUAAUUUUCAGAAUAACUUAUUCAACACAAGCAGCCUAAACCGAAGGUAGCAAGCCAUCAGGCUGCAGGCUGAAUCCAAAACCAAGUCAGGUUUUUUUUUUUUUCUUUUAAGAUGCAUUAAUUGCCAACAUCAGAAAGCUGAGCGAUUUCAUAUAAACAUUUGGAUUUCUUCUUUAAAAUUUAGAUGGUUUAUCAACAUUGGGCCGCACUCCUACCUGGUUUCAGUGGCUGAGUGAUGGUUGCCCCCUUGGAAUGGGGCCAGGGGUCUUUAUUUCAGCAAGAUCUCUGCUCACUUGGCUUCUCUCACUUAAGGGAGCCGCUUAGCCCCUCCAGGCAAUUAAGUGUGUGGUUUCGAAUAUGAGCUAAUGACAACUCCCAGGCUAGAUUUUUAGCUUUACUUUUGCAGGUUGUUUAAACUGCGUUUCUCAAAGGCAUCCUGUAUCAUUACGUGAAGCUGGGCAGUGGGCACUCCUCCCAUUAUGCAGGUGAAGGGCUAGGAUUAUAUUUGAUAAAACUUUCUGGUGCUCACAUUGUCAGUGCAAAGCUAGUUGUGAACCAGAAUCCCCCAGGAAUCUUUUUUUUUUUUUUUUUUUUAAAUGCAGCUCCCAAGCUCCA